rnacentral:rRNA from 2 species
AUGACGCUGGCGGCGUGCCUAAUACAUGCAAGUCGAGCGAACUGAUUAGAAGCUUGCUUCUAUGACGUUAGCGGCGGACGGGUGAGUAACACGUGGGCAACCUGCCUGUAAGACUGGGAUAACUUCGGGAAACCGAAGCUAAUACCGGAUAGGAUCUUCUCCUUCAUGGGAGAUGAUUGAAAGAUGGUUUCGGCUAUCACUUACAGAUGGGCCCGCGGUGCAUUAGCUAGUUGGUGAGGUAACGGCUCACCAAGGCAACGAUGCAUAGCCGACCUGAGAGGGUGAUCGGCCACACUGGGACUGAGACACGGCCCAGACUCCUACGGGAGGCAGCAGUAGGGAAUCUUCCGCAAUGGACGAAAGUCUGACGGAGCAACGCCGCGUGAGUGAUGAAGGCUUUCGGGUCGUAAAACUCUGUUGUUAGGGAAGAACAAGUACGAGAGUAACUGCUCGUACCUUGACGGUACCUAACCAGAAAGCCACGGCUAACUACGUGCCAGCAGCCGCGGUAAUACGUAGGUGGCAAGCGUUAUCCGGAAUUAUUGGGCGUAAAGCGCGCGCAGGCGGUUUCUUAAGUCUGAUGUGAAAGCCCACGGCUCAACCGUGGAGGGUCAUUGGAAACUGGGGAACUUGAGUGCAGAAGAGAAAAGCGGAAUUCCACGUGUAGCGGUGAAAUGCGUAGAGAUGUGGAGGAACACCAGUGGCGAAGGCGGCUUUUUGGUCUGUAACUGACGCUGAGGCGCGAAAGCGUGGGGAGCAAACAGGAUUAGAUACCCUGGUAGUCCACGCCGUAAACGAUGAGUGCUAAGUGUUAGAGGGUUUCCGCCCUUUAGUGCUGCAGCUAACGCAUUAAGCACUCCGCCUGGGGAGUACGGUCGCAAGACUGAAACUCAAAGGAAUUGACGGGGGCCCGCACAAGCGGUGGAACAUGUGGUUUAAUUCGAAGCAACGCGAAGAACCUUACCAGGUCUUGACAUCCUCUGACAACUCUAGAGAUAGAGCGUUCCCCUUCGGGGGACAAAGUGACGGGUGGUG